rnacentral:rRNA from 1 species
UACGUAGGGACCAAGCGUUGUCCGGAAUCAUUGGGCGUAAAGGGCGCGUAGGCGGCAAUUCAAGUCAGCUGUGAAAUCUCCGGGCUUAACUCGGAACGGUCAGCUGAUACUGCUUUGCUAGAGUGCAGAAGGGGCAAUCGGAAUUCUUGGUGUAGCGGUGAAAUGCGUAGAUAUCAAGAGGAACACCUGAGGUGAAGACGGGUUGCUGGGCUGACACUGACGCUGAGGCGCGAAAGCUAGGGUAGCAAACGGG